CAACAGGGAUUGGCUUCACUGCUCCCAAUGCUAAGAUGAAGUGCAUCAGCAUUACUCUGCUCCCGAUCAUAUGGGGGGCUCUGGCGAUUACCCAAUAUAAUGGACAGCCACCAGACCAAGUAGGAGGAACACCGCCACAACAAAUGCCACAACAUCAACCAUUACCACCAGGCCAAGUAGGAGGACCACCAGCAGAACAAAUGCCACAAAAUCAACCAAUACAACCAGGCCCAGUAGGUGGAAAAGGUGGAGAGAAUAUCAAUAAGAAUACCAACAAUAUCAAAGUUGGUCGUAGAUAGAUCUAUGGUUUGGACAGAUAAUCUUGCAAAGAAAUCUUUAAUUUGCGUAAAAUGAUAA